rnacentral:misc_RNA from 1 species
UCGUUAGCAAGAUGUCUGCGUUUAGACUGUUUUGACGACAUUUUAAUUCAUUUUUAUCACUGAUCUUUGACUCCUGAAGACAGCAGUGGCUGAAUUAUUUAACAAUGCAGCAAGCAACAGGAGAUAACCAAAUUGGCCCACCACAACAGCAAAUAGUCCACCAACAGAUAAUACAACAGCCACAAAUGGUGCCGCAACAACAAAUGUUACAACAACAACAAAUGUUACAACAGCCUCAGCAAAUGUUACAACAGCCUCAACAAAUGUUACAACAGCAACAACAAAUGUUACAACAGCCUCAACAAAUGUUACAACAGCAACAACAAAUGUUACAACAGCCUCAACAAAUGUUACAACAGCAACAACAAAUGGUUCAGCAACAGAUGAUGUAUUGUCCUGUCAGGGUGGUUUACGACUCUCCGGUGUUGAUGCCAUCAGGUGACCAAAUGCAACAACAGAACCAAAACCUAUUCAUCAACCAACCACCGUGGGCGCGGUCCAUCCCCAACCAAGUCAUAUACGUCCAACAAUUUGGCCACAACUUGGUCCCAAUCCAACAAUUUGACCCCAACAUUUACGUCCAACAAAACGUCCCCUACCAACAAAUGCUGCAGAUGCCUCAAAUGGUCCAGAACUUACCGCAAGGGCAAAUACGGCCAGUAAUGAACAAUAUGCCAGCGAACAUGGUACAAAAUGUUGGCCAGGCAAUGCCUGAACAAUCUAUUGGACAAGUAUUACCUAAUUAUGGAUUUAUACAAGCCAAUAACGAUGUUAACAUGCCAAAUCUUAGUGUUGUGAGUAAUGAGUUAGAUAGACAAGUUUUAGUUCCGAAUCAAAUGGGACAAAACACAAGUCAGGACGUGCAAAUGCAGAUGUUUCGCAUGCAACAGCAGAAUGUUAGACCACAAAUGACAGUUAAUGGACAGUUACAAAACAUAGCCAGUGUACAACAAGGCGUCCAACAAAUGGGAUUGAAUGUAGCUAAUAUUAAUCAGAAUAAUGUUGCAAAUGUUAGUCAGAAUACUGGUUCAAAUGCACAGAACGUUGGCGCUGUCAGGCCUGGUGUUACUGAAAAUGUUACGACAAAUGUUAGUGCAAAUAUGGGACCUCAAGUAGCGACAAAUAGAGUCAAUUCCGCUGUAAACACACAAACUACUCCUACAAUUGUUGCACCAACUAGGGUAAAUACAGCUGUAAACACGCAACCAACUCUCACAAAUGUUGGGCCAAACAUCCCCAGUGUACGACCGACAUUACAUCAAAAUACAGCCAAUAACAGCCACAGUGUUCAACAAAAUAUGAGUCAAAAUAUGCAGCCUAUUAGACAAAUGAUGCAGACACAAAAUGUAAACACAAUGCCGAGAAAUAUACAACAGAAUAUUGCAAAUAGUCCAGUUAAUACUGCUACAAAUACCAGCAUGCAAUUUACAGGUGCAAAUAUUAAUAAUAUGAAUACUGUUACGUAUUCGGCUGUUAGAAACGGCCAACCCUAUACCUACAGGGCGAUACAACCGAAACCUAACAGUAAUGUAAGAGUAAACUUUACACCCAGGGGAACACAAGUGCCAAUGAUAAAGAAAUACGUCGUUCCCAUACCUCAUGUAAAUGUCAGUCAAAAUAAUACAGCGCCUAUGAACACUGUACCCACAGCAACAACCAGUAACACAAUAAAAACCGAACCAGAAAACACAACUUUUAACAGGAAAAGAAAAAGCGAGUCACCCGACGAUCAGAAGAAAAUAUCAAAUUUUGGAAGUAUAACUGUUACUGCUCAAGUCAAAGAUAAGAUAAAAGCAAAAUGUGCUGUAAAUACUAGUGAAAUUGGAACAAACACAAGUCCUGUACAUAGAGCGAAGCAUAAGAAAGUAGAAAACCAACCACUUCUGCAAAUAAAUCCUAUGGAAACAAAAAUUAAGAUGGAAGUUGGCACUGUAACGGACGCCAUACCUAAACCUACUGCCAUACCUAUAAAAGACUCUCCUACACCAAUGAAAAUCGAUGCUCAAGUUGACAUUAAAGAUGUAAGUCAACAGACUGAAGAAAAAACCGUAAGAAAAACUGUGUUUCCUCAAGCUAGAGGCAGAUUACUUGAAGACAAAGUCAAUGUUACCAUGGCCAAUGCCGAAACUGAUAAAAUGAAUGUUGAUAUGAAGAGUGAAAGAACACAACUACUGCCACACCCUGAUGUAGUAAAUAAACCUAUAGUAGAAAAUAAUAUAAAAAUCGAAGAAACAAAACCAACCAAUGAUAUUAAGUUACCGAAGCAAGAAGUUGCUAAGAAAAUGGAAAUCGUUUUAGAUGUAAAGAACGAAGAAAUUAGGAAAAAGCCAGAAAUGACAAAGAAAGAGAAAGUCACUAAGAAAGAAAUUAUCACUAAGAAGGAAGAAAUAAAAGUCAGUGAUGAACAAGAGCUUAAUACUAAUAACAUACUAUUUAAUAUACUAACUAAUAGUCCAAUUAAGAAAGCUUCUGAAGAUAUUGACCAAAAUAUCAAAUCAGAUGCAGAAAGCAAAGCGAAAGUCAAUUUAGAAACAAAAUUAAACAACAAAGUUACUAAACCUAGUCCCUCUGUAAGUAAAAAUGAAGAAUUGAAGAAAGAAACAGACACAAUACCGCCUACAUUAAGUAUAAAGAACGACAAUGAAAAACCUAGCAAUUCUAAAUCAAAAGACGAACAUCGUAAACCAGUUACAAAACUCUCAACAGAUUAUGAAGCUGUCAUUAAAGAUAACAAAAUAGAAAAGAAAGAAUAUACAAAUAUAUCUAUAGGUGAAAUGACAGGGUCGGAAAUACAUAUCGUAGAUGGAAAUAUUCAUAAGGAAGAACGCGAUUUCGUUUUGACACACGUGCUUGACGGAUACGUCAUACAAGAAUCUAACGUUCCUUUUGCUAUAAGAAAACCACUACGAGAGAAAACUAUAAACACAGUCAUGGACGACAAACAGGACCACAUAAUGAAGAACAGUCUAACAAAAGACGAAAUAAGAGAUAAGAUUCUGGAACUUUCCCAACUGCAUUUAGAAGAAAAUAGACAAACAGAAGUAGUAGAAGAAGAAGUGGUAGAAGAAGUAGAAAAAGAAGAUGAGAGACUGAAUGAGAAAGAGGAUAAGACUGAGUCUAGUGACGGAGAAUUGCAGAUAGAUGAAGAUAGGGAUGUUAGGGAUGAAUCUGAUGAAGAAAAUAAAGAGAGCCCUUUCCAACGCUUGCAACAGAGCGACGUUAAAUCCUGGACGGUGGAGGUGUUAGCGUCUCAUUUAAACAAGUACAAAUGGACAGAAACAGUGGCCAUAUUUCAAGAGCACGAAAUCGAUGGAGAGUCCUUAUUUUUAGUGACGCGUCCUCAACUAGUUUGUAUUGGAGUGAGCGAAACACACGCCGACAUCAUAUGUGAAUUCGUUCAAAGUAAGACUUAAGUCAUAACGAAUUAAAAUUUAAAAAAAAAACCCCGACCAGAAUAAAACUACGCUAACAGCAGACAAGCUCAGUGGUUCUAGAAGACAUUAGUGUUUCAAAUGUCAGAUCCCACAUAAUUAUGCUUGCAAGCAAACUGAGCGUGUAACAUUCCUAUCACACCUAACAAACGACCUUGAAGACCUGAACCGAUUUCCACCAAACAUAGCUAAGAACACUCUCAACUGAUAUACCUUUCAAACAAAAAAAGCCGCAUUAAAAUCGGAUCAUCCGUUUGAGAGCUACGAUGCCACAGACAGACACAGAUUUACACAGACACGUCAAACUUAUAACACCCCGUCGUUUUUGCGUCGGUGGUUAAAAUUGACAAAAUCUGUGUUCACACUGUUCAGAUUAUCGUCACUCUGGUCCUGUAAAACCCGAGGAGCGCCGUUUAAAAUCCCACCGGACUUGCACCAAUGAGUUAUUAAUUUAUCUCAAGUGCAGUUUUCAGUAACACAGUUGGCUCGACCAUUAUAGACGGCGAUACGGCUCACCUAUCACGUUGGUUUGUAUCAUGAUGCUGUGGAACUAUUAAUAACCUACUUUCCGUCCGGUUCUCACCUGACCGGUUGUAUGGAGAAAGGAGCGCGCUGAUUCUCCAUCUCGCUCGCACAUACGGCGGUACGGUACGCGGUAAGAAUGAGAAUUUUGUAAGGAUUUUAAAAAUACCUACUUGAUGUGUUCCGAAAAUACAAUGCUACACGAAGACUAAAGAUUUUUUAAGGCAUUUUCUAAGAUCUACGUGUUCAAUUUAUCAUUAAUAAGUUAGUCAUUUGUCCGGCCAAGUAGUGAAUGCUAGCCGAGACAAAAGGAUGAUGCCAUAAACUCUAAUUGCGAUCCAUUUUAAGAUGUUAACUUAUGCGAUUUGUGUAUUUCUUUUGAACAGAGCGAUUCAAAUUGAUGGCUGACAUCCUUAUUCAGGAUGUUAACUCCAACCUUCCUCCACUGGACUCGGCCUUACCUGAGCAUUUUGGUAUUUUAAGUUGACAUUUACGCCCUCGACUUGAGGACUUUCCUCACUGGAGUCGAGCACGUCAUACUGCCAACAUAAUAAUACGAAAAUAAUCUUCUUAUCGUGUGGGUUGUGAGGUGGAAUACCAACCCCAUCAACCUUGGUGUCAGGGUUAUUAUUGAGCCGCCAAAGGCCCCUGACAUGGCUCAUGUAACGACUACAUACUUACAUCAGUGAGUAGUAACCGGGAGCAACGGCUUAACGUGCCUUCCGAAGCACGGAUCGUCUUCCUUUCGGACAAUCGGGUGAUCAGCCUGUAAUGUCCUAACCAAACUAGGGAUCACAAAGUGAUUUUUGUGAUAUGUCCCCAACGGGAUUCGAACCCGGGGCCUCCGG